rnacentral:tRNA from 1 species
CAGAGUAUAGCUUAAAAAGACAAGCAUCCCCCUUACACAGGGAAGAUAUCCGUGCAAGUCGGAUUACCCUGA